rnacentral:misc_RNA from 1 species
UCAGCUGCCUUCCUUAGGCCCUUACAAUUUGGAUUCCCACAUUUCCUAGUUGUGCAUAUAAGUAUUAUCCAAGCAGCUAUUGCAGCACAAAAAGUACUAAACCCUAUAGAAGCAUAUAUCAUUGGAUUUCUCGUAACCUCAUCUUUGACCACAUAAUGAACGGUACCAACAAAUUCAAUCGAAUAAAGGGUUACAAACUUGACAUAAGGAAAUAACAAGAACCCACAAGCACCAAUAACAGCAAUCAAGAUCACAACAUCAAUGACAGCUGAUCGAGAUCGAUCACAGACAGGUAUACUAGCACAAUUUGAAUGAUUAUUUGUCUUUCU